CAGCAUUUUACAAAAUCCCUUAAUUCACUGAACCCUCCUCAUAUUCUCUGACCCUCUCUAAAGUCUUUUAUUAAUAGCCUCAAAGAUUUACUAUUUAAAGUAUCAUAAGCUACUAGUAGUUUUAUACAUAUUCAAAGAUCAGACCAAACCCACUUCUUGUUUUGUUUUAGGACAAAGAAAUCUUGGUCUUCUUCAUCUCUUGCAUAAAAGUACUUCCUUUCAAAGAUCAGACCAAACCCACUUCUGGGUCGUGGUGGUUUGCUUUAAAGCUGCAUUGGUCAACUAGAAACUUCGAAAAGGUAGUUGCUUUAGCUUGCAUUCAAGUCAUGGACGUCGGAGAAAGAAAUAACCGGAAAAACGUCAACUUCAACCGUCCGCCGGCAAUGGUGUUGGAGAACAGCAAGCAUGAGUUACGUCGGACGCAGAAAAGGUUGAUGAUUCCGGCAAGUUAUUUCAGUUUAAAGUCUCUGGUUCUGCUGGUGGGUCUAACGGCGUCUAUGUUGAUCCUUCCGUUAGUUUUGCCGCCGUUACCUCCUCCACCCUUUAUGCUUCUUUUGAUUCCGAUUGGUAUUAUGGUCUUACUAGUCGUUCUUGCCUUCAUGCCUUCUUAUUCUAAGGCCAAAGAUGUAACUUGCACUUUUACGUAAAUCCCUUAUUAUCCCCUAUAUAUUAUUUGAGAAGUAUUACAACUUUUUUUAUAGUCACAUGUCAUCACUAGAUUGGUAUUAUGGUCUUACUAGUCGUUCUUGCCUUCAUGCCUUCUUAUUCUAAGGCCAAAGAUGUAACUUGCACUUUUAUGUAAAUCCCUUAUUAUCUCCUAUAUAUUAUUUGAAAA
rnacentral:lncRNA from 1 species